GCUGGCGGCGUGCCUACACAUGCAAGUCGAACGGAAGUUUAACGCUGACGAGACUUCGGUCAAAUCUUGUUAAACUUUAGUGGCGGACGGGUGAGUAACGCGUGGGCAACCUGCCUCAUACUGGGGGAUAACAGUUGGAAACGACUGUUAAUACCGCAUAAGCGCACAGAGUCGCAUGACUCAGUGUGAAAAACUCCGGUGGUAUGAGAUGGGCCCGCGUCAGAUUAGCCAGUUGGCGGGGUAACGGCCCACCAAAGCGACGAUCUGUAGCCGGACUGAGAGGUCGGACGGCCACAUUGGGACUGAGACACGGCCCAAACUCCUACGGGAGGCAGCAGUGGGGGAUAUUGCACAAUGGAGGAAACUCUGAUGCAGCGACGCCGCGUGAGUGAAGAAGUAUUUCGGUAUGUAAAGCUCUAUCAGCAGGGAAGAAAGGCUCGUAAGAGAGAUGACGGUACCUGACUAAGAAGCCCCGGCUAACUACGUGCCAGCAGCCGCGGUAAU
rnacentral:rRNA from 1 species